rnacentral:misc_RNA from 1 species
GAUGAAGAACGUAGCGAAAUGCGAUAAGUAGUGUGAAUUGCAGAAUUCAGUGAAUCAUCGAAUCCUUGAACGCACAUUGCGCCCCUUGGUAUUCCAUGGGGCAUGCCUGUUCGAGCGUCAUUUGUACCUUCAAGCUCUGCUUGGUGUUGGGUGUUUGUCUCGCCUCUGCGCGCAGACUCGCCUCAAAACGAUUGGCAGCCGGCGUAUUGAUUUCGGAGCGCAGUACAUCUCGCGCUUUGACAACAAAACGACGACGUCCAAAAAGUACAUUUUUUACACUCUUGACCUCGGAUCAGGUAGGGAUACCCGCUGAACUUAAGCAUAUCAAUAAGCGGAGGA